GCUUGUCUCAAAGAUUAAGCCAUGCAUGUCUAAGUAUAAACAAAUCUAUACUGUGAAACUGCGAAUGGCUCAUUAUAUCAGUUAUAGUUUAUUUGAUGGUUCUUGCUACUUGGAUAACCGUAGUAAUUCUAGAGCUAAUACAUGCAUCAAACCCCGACUUCUGGAAGGGGUGUAUUUAUUAGAUGGAAACCAAUGCGGGGCAACCCGGAUUCUGGUGAUUCAUAAUAACUUUCGGAUCGAUCUUCGGAUCGAUGCAUCAUUCAAGUUUCUGCCCUAUCAGCUUUGGAUGGUAGGGUAUUGGCCUACCAUGGCGUUAACGGGUAACGGGGAAUUAGGGUUUGAUUCCGGAGAGGGAGCCUUAGAAACGGCUACCACAUCCAAGGAAGGCAGCAGG
rnacentral:rRNA from 1 species